rnacentral:rRNA from 1 species
UGCGUAGGUGGUUACGUAAGUAACGUGUGAAAGCCCUCGGCUUACCCGGGGAAUUGCGCGUUAUACUGCGUGACUUGAGGAUUUCAGGGGAAAGGGGAACUCCAGGUGUAGCGGUGAAAUGCGCAGAUAUCUGGGGGAAGGCCGGCGGCGAAGGCGCCUUUCUGGGAAAUUCCUGACACUGAGGCACGAAAGCAUGGGGAGCAAACA